rfam:Asian citrus Psyllid, Diaphorina citri - Florida Strain, whole genome shotgun sequence.
AUCUGCAAGCACAAUGAAUGCAUGUCCCCAGUGGAUCACUGAAGUUAAGCCAUGUUGCGUGUGGUUUCUAGAAGGGUGACCGUCUGGGAAAACACGUGUUGCUGGCU